rnacentral:rRNA from 1 species
UAGUCCUAGCUGUAAACGAUGAUUACUGGGUGUGGGGGGUCGAACCUCUGUGCCGAAGCUAACGCGAUAAGUAAUCCGCCUGGGGAGUACGGUCGCAAGACUGAAACUCAAAGGAAUUGACGGGGACCCGCACAAGCGGUGGAGCAUGUGGUUUAAUUCGACGCAACGCGAGGAACCUUACCAGGGCUUAAAUGCAGUUGGACAGGGGUGGAAACACCCCCUUCUUCGGACUGAUUGCAAGGUGCUGCAUGGUUGUCGUCAGCUCGUGCCGUGAGGUGUCAGGUUAAGUCCUAUAACGAGCGCAACCCCUGUGGUUAGUUGCCAGCGAGUAAUGUCGGGAACUCUAGCCAGACUGCCGGUGCAAACCGUGAGGAAGGUGGGGAUGACGUCAAAUCAUCACGGCCCUUACGUCCUGGGCUACACACGUGCUACAAUGGUAGGUACAGAGAGCAGCCACUGCGCGAGCAGGAGCGAAUCUAUAAAACCUAUCUCAGUUCGGAUCGGAGU